rnacentral:misc_RNA from 1 species
UUUCCGUAGGUGAACCUGCGGAAGGAUCAUUAUUGUAUAACCGAGGUGCGAGGGCUGUCGCUGACCCGAAAGGUCGUGCACGCCCGAGUGCUCUCACACACAUCCAUCUCACCCCUAUGUGCACCACCGCGUGGGUCCCCCUUUGGCUUGUUCGGAGGGGGGCUUACGUUUUCACACAAACUUUGUAUGCAGUGUAGGAUGUAUUUUUUGUUUUUGCGAUCACGCAAUCAAUACAACUUUCAACAACGGAUCUCUUGGCUCUC